AUUGAACGCUGGCGGCAUGCCUUACACAUGCAAGUCGAACGGCAGCACGGGUGCUUGCACCUGGUGGCGAGUGGCGAACGGGUGAGUAAUACAUCGGAACAUGUCCUGUAGUGGGGGAUAGCCCGGCGAAAGCCGGAUUAAUACCGCAUACGAUCUACGGAUGAAAGCGGGGGACCUUCGGGCCUCGCGCUAUAGGGUUGGCCGAUGGCUGAUUAGCUAGUUGGUGGGGUAAAGGCCUACCAAGGCGACGAUCAGUAGCUGGUCUGAGAGGACGACCAGCCACACUGGGACUGAGACACGGCCCAGACUCCUACGGGAGGCAGCAGUGGGAAAUUUUGGACAAUGGGCGAAAGCCUGAUCCAGCAAUGCCGCGUGUGUGAAGAAGGCCUUCGGGUUGUAAAGCACUUUUGUCCGGAAAGAAAUCCUUGGCCCUAAUACGGUCGGGGGAUGACGGUACCGGAAGAAUAAGCACCGGCUAACUACGU
rnacentral:rRNA from 1 species